CCAAAGCGCUAUUGUGUCAGACUCAUCUCUCGCUGAAGAGGAUCCAGCGACAUCAAGAGAUUACGGAAAAUCACGCGAGAUAACUGGCUUGCACCUUGUUGGGUUUUUUCAAGGGCAGAGGGGAGAUUCCUGGCGUGCAUCCACUUAAUUUGAAGAAGAACAUCACCUGAUCACCUGUCUGUAAUCCACCUGCUUAAGUUCUGGUCAAGGGGCUCAUCGGCUAUCAAGUUAUAGAUUUCAGUGGCUAAUAGAAGACACUGCUGAGGUCAGACGAGAGUGCAUCCUCAAAUGUCUGUGUGUACCUAAAUGAAGAUCCAGAGAAGCUGGUGAGGGAGUACAUGGACGUUGAUGAAUGAAAUGGCCAAAGCCGAGACUGUCCUCGGAAUCGUCAUUUGAGCAGAGGGUGCAGAGGCUGCCGAUGCACAUCUGGAUGUUGGGAUUGUCUUGGAGGAGGUGGAAGUUAUGAACAGCUUGGGCAGUGUAUCUUCUGCAAUAGUGAUGCUGCUGGGACUAAUCUACGCACUAAACUUGAGCUACCCUCAAGUUUACAUUUAUCGCCGCACCAUGUUAGGUACAUUCUGUGCGAAAAAAGUCUGCAGAGCCAUAUGUAGUGUACAAAGCUAAACUUGAGCUACCCUCAAGUUUAGUGCGUUCAGCACUCAACUUGCUCAGUAACUCAAGCAUACCUUUGAAGUAAUACAGAAAAUAAUAAUGAAAUUGGAUGGAAAGAACUUAUCAAAGAAAGCACAAGUUCUCAAUAUGAAACUCGCCGCUAAGUUGAGUUAAGUUUCAUAUGGAAAAUCAGUGUUUAAAGACUGCAGUAGAAAAGAUUUAUAUUGUUACAGUUCUCUAAGUUGAGCAACUAUACUGACAUGUUUUAUGUUGUAAAGAAUU